AAAUGAAUUGACGGGGGCCCGCACAAGCAGCGGAGCAUGUGGUUUAAUUCGAAGCAACGCGAAGAACCUUACCAGGUCUUGACAUCCAUUAAAGCCUGUAGAGAUACGGAGUCCCUUCGGGGGUAAUGAGACAGGUGGUGCAUGGUUGUCGUCAGCUCGUGUCGUGAGAUGUUGGGUUAAGUCCCGCAACGAGCGCAACCCUUGCCGAUAGUUACUAACGGGUAAUGCUGAGGACUCUAUUGGGACCGCCGGGGACAACUCGGAGGAAGGUGGGGACGACGUCAAAUCAUCAUGCCCCUUAUGACCUGGGCUACACACGUGCUACAAUGGCCGAAACAGCGAGGAGCGAAGCCGUAAGGCGGAGCGAAUCUCAAAAAAGCGGUCUCAGUUCAGAUUGUGGGCUGCAACCCGCCCACAUGAAGCAGGAGUUGCUAGUAAUCGCGAAUCAGCAUGUCGCGGUGAAUACGUUCCCGGGCCUUGUACACACCGCCCGU
rnacentral:rRNA from 1 species